UUUACGUCGGCCUUCGCGAGCGUCUGGGCGGGUGGUAGGUGAGUGGGUAUUGCGGGCUAGUAUCCGAGCAAAAGAUGGUGGCGCAGGCCGAGUUAAGAGCUUUAAUCCUGUGAAGACAUCUUAGUGAAGAGUUUAGAGUGCUGAGAGUUGAAAGCUUGCACGUGGGAAACGUGCGGCCGGACUGCCACAUGUACUGAGGUUGAGUCGUGACGGCCACAGGCUCCGAGUUUUGGCGUGAGGAACCGCUGAUCGGCCACGGGCGCCGAACUUGCUGGCCUCCGGCAUGUGCCUGAGCGGCGGCGGAAAAACCACCUUAAUUGGGGCGGAGGGUUAGUUUUAACAGCAAAGGGCCUUUACUAAAAUGGCGAAGGCCUUCCGUCGGCGUUGUUUUAAAAUGGGAAGCCUCGACCCUGUAUUGAAACUGAGCUGUUCGAAGGCGGCGUUGUGUGCAAUUCGGAUUAAUGAAGGGGAAGGGUUUUGUGUGGAAAAACGCCUUGGAGUGUGACAUUUCUGCGAGAAUGCUUAAAUACCGAUUUCCCGCAGGAACAAUGGCGCUGUCUUCAGUGGCACAGUGGAGCAGCUCUGAAGAUGCAAAGAUACACGAAAAAACUUCCAGAACAUCUGGGAGAAUAUUUAAUGGAAAAUCGCUUGGUUAAAACCUGACACUUUUAACAGUGAGGGUCGCUGUCUGCCCAUUGAUAGAGGCCAGAUUGUCUUGGAAGUUCCAAAGUUGCAACGAUUUCUGGCUAGUGCCACGAGGUUUACUUGACUGUUGUGUGAAAAGCUGAUAAGAAAACCAUCCAGAAAAAAGCUCUUCGUUUUACAAACAUGAAAAUAAAACAUUUAGUUGAAUCCAUGGACAUGAAACCCACAGAUAUAGAGGGUUGGCCCGGUGCAGUGGCUCACGCCUGUAAUCCCAGCACUUUGGGAGGCCAAGGCGGGUGGAUCACCUGAGGUCAGAAGCUUGAGACCAGCCUGGCCAACAUGGGUACUGCUUUCUCUUGCUGCAGCUUGCUUCCUCCCUCAGGUAUGAAGUUAAGGUAACAUGAAGGAGGAUAUUGAAUGUUCCUAACACAAAGAAAUGAUAAAUGUUUGAGAUGGUGGAUGUACUAAUUGCCCUGAUCUGAUGACUAUACAUUAUAUAUAUUGAAACAUCAGUAUGUACCCCAUGAAUAUGUACAAUUAUAUGUCAACUUAAACACAUUUAAAAGUAAAAAAAAAAAAAUCCAAAA
rnacentral:lncRNA from 1 species